rnacentral:rRNA from 1 species
GACGAACGCUGGCGGCGUGCUUAACACAUGCAAGUGGAGCGACGAACCGGGGCUUGCCCCGGGGCAGAGCCGCGAACGGGUGAGUAACACGUGGGUAACCCACCUCGAUGACCGGGACAACCCGAGGAAACUCGGGCUAAUACCGGAUGUGAUCCUCUUUUGUAAGGAAGAGAAUGAAAGAUAGCUUCGGCUUUCGCAUCGAGACGGGCCCGCGGCCCAUUAGCUUGUUGGUGGGGUAAUGGCCUACCAAGGCUUCGAUGGGUAGCUGGUCUGAGAGGACGAUCAGCCACACUGGGACUGAGACACGGCCCAGACUCCUACGGGAGGCAGCAGUGGGGAAUCUUGCGCAAUGCGCGAAAGCGUGACGCAGCAACGCCGCGUGGGGGAAGACGGCCUUCGG